rnacentral:rRNA from 1 species
AUUGAACGCUGGCGGCAGGCCUAACACAUGCAAGUCGAGCGGAUGAAGGGAGCUUGCUCCUGGAUUCAGCGGCGGACGGGUGAGUAAUGCCUAGGAAUCUGCCUGGUAGUGGGGGAUAACGUCCGGAAACGGGCGCUAAUACCGCAUACGUCCUGAGUGAGAAAGUGGGGGAUCUUCGUACCUCACGCUAUCUGAUGAGCCUAGGUCGGAUUAGCUAGUUGGUGGGGUAAAGGCCUACCAAGGCGACGAUCCGUAACUGGUCUGAGAGGAUGAUCAGUCACACUGGAACUGAGACACGGUCCAGACUCCUACGGGAGGCAGCAGUGGGGAAUAUUGGACAAUGGGCGAAAGCAUGAUCCAGCCAUGCCGCGUGUGUGAAGAAGGUCUUCGGAUUGUAAAGCACUUUAAGUUGGGAGGAAGGGCAGUAAGUUAAUACCUUGCUGUUUUGACGUUACCAACAGAAUAAGCACCGGCUAACUUCGUG